AAAGUUCUAAAGAUUUACGAUUAACGUAGUCUAUAAAAUAAAAAUUGAACGAAGAUAAAUUCUCAAGAGAAUAUUAUGUUUUGAAUAAUGAAUCAAUGGAGCAUUGUUUGAAUCGCACGAUCGAGCCGGAAACGAGUAAAGAGAAUACCAACAAAAUUCAACAGAAUAAUGUUCGAUGUCGUGUGACAGGCGGGUCGUGGCCGGAAAAGCGCGAAAAUAGGAAGAGGAAGCGAGCGAAGAAAGAAAGAAAAGAGAGGCGGAGACGUGGAAGUGGCGCGUGGCACUACCGAAUAAGUAUCGAAUGCCGCCAGAUGUUGCGGUGAAGCCAGCUGCUGCACCUCCGCCACUCUGCCCUCUUUUGCUUUUCCUCGCGGUUUUUCGAGAGAGUCGAGCAGAGAACUGGCGUGAAAACCGAAAAGGGACAAGAAGGAAAAGAAAAAGGAGAGCCCUUCGAGCGAGGAGAACAAGAUGGGAAGGAAGUGGCGGAGGGGGUCGAAAGCGAAUAUCCUUCCUGCCGGGGCAACAAACAGGCAGCUGCUCGGAUUUGAGCACGUGCUACUACCACCGUGCGCUGCCACGAUGAGCCUCGUCUUAGAUAGCCGAGGUUGGUAGGUUGCUGGGUAAAGAUAGGAAAGAAGUGACUUGAUGAUUUGAUAUGACUAUGUUUUGCACGGAAAAUGAUCGACGAAGGUUGAUCGGUAGGAUGAUCGGAAGAUAUUAUGCACCAACUCUCUAAAUAGAAGGUAUACUAUAUGAGCACCAGAUAUCUCCAAGAAGGGUACGAUCGUGCAUGCAUGCGUAUCUCCCUUCAUGGCAUCAACUAUACGUAAGUUUUCCUUCGGGCUAUUAAUUCUCUUUCAAGGUGGUCUCUGAUUUUGCAAUUUUACACCAGUUGAGUUUUAUGGGUUUUUCCUUUAGUGACGUGAGAUAUUAACAGAUAUUUUCUUAAUAAUCUAUUUAUUAAUCCAGGCAAUGAAAUGAUGAAAAAUUCUAACCUCAAAUUUUAUCGAUUAAAAUUUAUGUUAUUAAUUUUGAUUUUUUUUUUUUAAAGACUAAGGAAAUGAUCGAGCUAUUGAUUUUUAAACGAUUAUAUGUCUAAUAGAAAGUUAAAUUGAUUUUCUGUUGACUGGAUAAUUAAAUUUUCAGCGAAUCGAAUAUCUUCUUAUCUGAUCAUAUAUCCGUAGACCUGGCGUUAUUAAUUUAGUAGAAAUCUGCAGGUGCUUCUACAGAAAUUUCGUUAAUCGAUCCUACAUUCAUGUCGACCAUGCAUCCAUAAUCAAACCCGCAUUCAAAGAUCCUUCAAAGAAAUUUUAUCCGUUUAAUUGCAAAUGAAAAAUACAUAUUUUAUUUUUCUUAUUUUUGAAUUUUUAUAUUAAUUAUAAAAUCUGAUAUUCGUUGUAUAUGCUGAAAGAUCAAUUGAUUUCAAUUCAAAAAAAAAAAAAAAAAAAAAUUACCUGAAUAAAGGGAAUCAAAUAAUUUUAUCCACAGGAAUAUUUAUGAAAAGGAUCAAUAGAAGAUUGUCUUAUAUCAUUUAGCUAUAUUCAAAAACGCAUGACACAUUAGUUACAAUAUUACAAAUGAUAUUUAUUGGCCUGGUCCUCCAUGGUACCUGAUAAUCAUGCGACACCUGUUACGACACAACACUUACUUAAUUGGAGGCUACGAACAGCUGCCCACACGACGAACCAAUCACGGCGGUUCGCCUGAAAUUCUUCUUUACCCGCGACAUCCCUGACGAGCACCUGUUCCAAUUCGGAAUAUAUACCGAACAAGGAUCCUUGACCAGGAUUUCUCACGAAAGGAAAGUCCGUAUUGAUUGUUGGAUUCCGAUUUAUUCGAUCGACAGCCCGUGAUUUCGUUUCGAUGAUGAUGAUGAUGCAAUUAAUUAGCCAAUUAAUUAAAACAUGCGGCUACGAAAUUGGAAUAUCAAUCAAAUCCAAAUUUAAAUUAGAAAUAUUUAAUAUUUCGCAAUAUGUUUCUUUUUUCAAAUUAAAAUUAAAAAUAAAUUUCAGUUAAAAUUCAGACUACUAAUUAGUGAGAAUAGAAAACACUUUUGUAUAAUUAUUUUGAACAUAUUUCAAUUUUUAUGUUACAUAUAUACUUUUUUUUAUCAUUUUAGAGUACGCUGUGUGAUUUUUUUUACAAACAAGCGAUUGCAUUUAUUACUCAACUGUCAUAGCGAAGCUGGAAAUUUGUCCAUCGCAUAAAAGCAUAUCAUGCUCAAAUAUUCGAGGAGGCUGCAGUUAGUUCUUAAGUCCUUUGCUACUUUACAACGACACUGCGUAACGAUGCUGGACGGACGGCGGGCACAGCUGUCAACCCGUGUCCACAAGAGGACCAUGCUUGAAUUUCUAUAUCGUCCACGAUAUCAUACUCAAAUAUGUAUUCGGUAUAUAUACAACUAUGGCGAAAUUCCUUGAUGUUACCUCACCAUGCUUAAUGACACGUAAGAGGUCUGCGUAUUACACCUGUCAGGCCACCUUUGCCAAAAAUUACUCAAAUUCUGUCUCUUAAGAUGGGACAUGGAUGAUCAACCAGCUGGUGUUAUAGCUUUUCACGAUUUCGCAAUGUUUGAUCAACGAAAAUUCAAGAAAAUUGUUCUGCUUGGGAUUAAUUGUCAAACUUGAGAAUCUCGACAAUUAAAAUUAAGGGAAGUAUUAGUGAUUAAAUAAUUUAAAAUUUCUUCAAU
rnacentral:lncRNA from 1 species